rnacentral:misc_RNA from 1 species
AAAGUCGUAACAAGGUUUCCGUAGGUGAACCUGCGGAAGGAUCAUUAUCACGUAUCCACGUAUAAACCAUUGUGAACCGUCUCUAACCUCCGCGAAACCGGCUGCUUUUUGAUUUCAUGAACGCAAGUUUGUGAGAGAGAAAAAAAACCGGCGUAAACGGAGCGUAUUUACCUAUUAACCAUUUUAACCAAUCUUUAUAACUUUUUGAACUAACUUUAUUUCAUACUCUUCGGAGAUGAAAUUCAUUACGAAACAAAGAACAACUCUUAGCAACGGAUAUCUUGGUUCUC